GAUAAACUCAAUUUUUAAUUGUAUGAGAAUAUUAUAUUUAAAUAGAUAAGGAGUGGAACAAUAUUGUAGAAUUGUAUCUGGAUUUCAUAAUAUUUUUCAUUUUUAAAAAUUAUAAUAAACAUUGUUAUUUGCACAAAUAUUAAAGUCAUGUAUGAUAAACAUUUUGAUGAAAUUAUAUAUUUCAUUAACACAUAUCAUAAGUUGGUAAAUUGUCAUAUAGUUGAUUUUAUUACUGAAAACUUAUGGACAACAUGUUUACCAGAAGCCUUAAGGUCAGAAUUAGAGAAGAAUGAACUCAGUUGGGUUGAUUGGACAGAAAAUGAUGAUUAUCCUACACUGAAUAAUUUUAUAAAGUUGGCGAAAUCUUUAUCUUUGCAAUCAUGCUCUAUAGAAACAAAUUCAAAAGAUUUUUUAAACACAUUACCAGAUAUAAAUAAUCAGAAGAAAUGUAUGUGUGAAAAUAUUAAGAUGGAAUUUAUAAAUACAAAGAAGUUACACGAGGUUGAAUCCCUUGGAAACAUUAUUGGGGAAGUUGCUGCGAGAACAAAUAAUCUAGUAAUAGAUGCUGGUGCUGGGAAAGCAUAUCUGUCAACAUUUUUAGCAGAAAAUCAUAAAGUUCCUGUUCUUGCAAUAGAUUCUUCGCAAUUAUGUAGUAAUGGAGCAAUCUGUAGACAAAAAAAAUUACGGAAGAAGUUGAUACUCUCUCCAAUGCUGGUACGCUAUGUAGUUGAAGAGAUUAAUGACAGAACCGAUUAUAUAAAAAUGAUAAAAGAAAAUUUUUCCGAUUGGGAUAUAAAUAAAAACAUUAUAUUAACUGGUUUACAUACUUGUGGUUCGCUCACUGACUCAAUUAUUCGAACAUUCUUAGCUACAAAAGACAUUAAUAUUUUAUGUAUAGUGCCCUGUUGUUACCAUUUGACAAAUGAAACACUUAAUAAAAAAAUUAAUUUUUCUAGAAAUGCUAGAAUGCUAGCCCAACAAUCUGUUGAAAGAAGUACAAAAAACAAAUCUGUACCUUCAUCAUUGUUCUACAGAGCAAUAUUACAAGUCAUUCUUCAUUCCUUGGGUAUUUAUAAUGCUAGAGUAGGUCGCGGCGGACCAUCACACGAUUUUCCAAGUUAUGCUCAAUGGGCAUUUUCAAGAAUUGGGGUAGAUUUGGAUAAGAUACCAUCACGAGAAGCACUGACAAGAACGUUUCAAGUUUAUGCACAUUUAAUGGAGAAAUUUUACAUAUUUCAAAUGUUAAGGAUACAUGUUGGUCUUGUAUUAGAAGCAGCCAUUAUGUUGGAUAGGAUAAUAUUUUUACAGAACAGUAAUCAGUGUUCUAAAAUUGCGAUACUGCGUUUAUUUGAUCCUAUGUUAUCUCCAAGACGUUAUGGCAUUAUUGCAGUAAAAUAGCGACAGGAAAGAAUGUUAUAAACAAAGAAGUAUACGACGUGAAUACAGAAAACAAUUUUAUUAUAUUUGUUGUGAAGUUUUCUCAUACAUAGUACGAUCAAUAAAAAAAUAUUACAUUCCUCGAUUGAAGGUAAUCCAUAACAGACGAAAAUCCUUCUUCUUUUACAAUAGGGGCUAAAAUUCCAGUUGGGGGUAAACCACUUCUUGUUCUACAUAUACUGCAGUUACAUAAACCACGGCAAGGUGGACAAACCCAAUUCUGCAAAAUUUUUGCACCAAAAUAAAUAAUUAUGAAACAAAAAUGAAAAAUAAAUAUUUAUAUGUAUUAAUAUAUGGCA